UACGGGGGGAGCAAGCGUUGUUCGGAUUUACUGGGCGUAAAGGGCGCGUAGGCGGCCAGCGCAAGUCAGUUGUGAAAUCCCCGGGCUCACCCCGGGACCUGCAUCCCAAACUGCUGAGCUUGAGUACAGGAGAGGGUGGGGGAAUUCCAGGUGUAGCGGUGAAAUGCGUAGAUAUCGGGAGGAACACCAGUGGCGAAGGCGAGUCUCUGGGCUGAUACCGACGCUGAGGCGCGAAAGCCAGGGGAGCAAACGGG
rnacentral:rRNA from 1 species